rnacentral:rRNA from 1 species
GCGACAAGCAGCGGAGCGUGUGGUUUAAUUCGAUGCAACGCGAAGAAACCUUACCAGGGUUUGACAUGCUUAAAGUAGAAACUCGAAAGAGGGACGACCUGUAUCCAAUCAGGAAUUUGCACAGGUGCUGCAUGGCUGUCGUCAGCUCGUGCCGUGAGGUGUUAGGUUAAGUCCUGCAACGAGCGCAACCCUCGUCGCUAGUUAAUUUCUCUAGCGAUACUGCCCGUAUAACGUGGAGGAAGGUGGGGAUGACGUCAAGUCAGCAUGGCCCUUACAUCCUGGGCUACACACACGCUACAAUGGGUGAUACAACAGGUAGCAAAAGAGCGAUCUGGAGCCAAUCCAAAAAAUCAUCCUCAGUUCGGAUUGCAGGCUGCAACUGCUUGCAUGAAGUUGGAGUUGCUAGUAAACGCAGGUCAGCACACUGCGUUGAAUACGUUCUCGGGCCUU